rnacentral:rRNA from 1 species
AUGCAGUUGAGGCGCGCGUCCAGGGCCCGCAGCGCCGUCAUGUGGGACGUGGAGAAGGGGAGGCUGGUGAGCUUGUUGGAGUUGACGGAGAGCCUCCGGAGGCUGUGGAGCUCGAAGCCCAGCGUGUCCGGCAGCCGCGUCAGCUGGUUGAAGUUGGCGUUCAGCUCCUCCAGCGCACUGCACCCAUGCCAACGUCACACAGCUUAUGGGUGUUGUUGGCGAGUGAGCGAGAAUUGCGGGUGGCAGCGCGCUUACCGGCACUCCUCGAUGGUGGCGGGAAGGGACUGGAGCAGGUUGCCGGAGACGUUGAGGACCCGGAGCUUGGAGAGGCAGCCGAUGGAGUUGGGCAGCGACUUGAGCUGGUUGGAGCGCACGUCCAGCACCACCACGUUCAGCAGCCGCGCGAUCAUUGACUCUGGAAUGCUCUGCAAUUGUUGUUGGAGAGGUCCAAGGUGGUGA